rnacentral:rRNA from 1 species
UACGUAGGGUGCGAGCGUUAAUCGGAAUUACUGGGCGUAAAGCGUGCGCAGGCGGCGCGUUAAGACAGGUGUGAAAGCCCCGAGCUUAACUUGGGAAUUGCGCUUGUGACUGGCGUGCUGGAGUGUGGCAGAGGGAGGUGGAAUUCCACGUGUAGCAGUGAAAUGCGUAGAGAUGUGGAGGAACACCGAUGGCGAAGGCAGCCUCCUGGGCCAGCACUGACGCUCAUGCACGGAAGCGUGGGGAGCAAACAGG